rnacentral:rRNA from 1 species
UACAGAGGGGGCAAGCGUUGUUCGGAAUUACUGGGCGUAAAGGGCGCGUAGGCGGCCUUCUAAGUCGAACGUGAAAUCCCCGGGCUCAACCCGGGAACUGCGUCCGAUACUGGGAGGCUUGAAUCCGGGAGAGGGAUGUGGAAUUCCAGGUGUAGCGGUGAAAUGCGUAGAUAUCUGGAGGAACACCGGUGGCGAAGGCGGCAUCCUGGACCGGUAUUGACGCUGAGGCGCGAAAGCCAGGGGAGCAAACGGG